AAAAUUUUAAAAAUGGAGGGGCACAUUUACAAAUGGGCAAAAAGAUUGAAGACACAACGGGUUUGAAGAUGUUUGAUCUUUUAUUCACAACUGCUAACCGCUAGUAAUACAUACAUAAUUCUAUCCUGAAAGACAUUGGAGAUGUCAUGUGUUUUUGGUACUAAUAGAUUUCACCCCAUAAUUCUGACAAACCCACUUCCCAGUUUCAUCCCUCGUGUUUCAUCAACAACUUCAGCUGCUGUUCACUUGGGACCCACUAAUAUUUCCACCCAGAAAUCAUCUCUUUCCUUCAAAACCAGACGAAAUGAUGCAAUUCUUGAUAUCCAGCAUUCUUCUGAUCUGGGUUCAGCUCUUGCAAGGUCAGGAGGAAUUUUGAGGGUGGAGGACUUGAAUACUAUUUUGCGUCAUUUUGGGAAGUCACAAAAAUUGAAGGAGCUUUCUCAGCUUUUUGCGUGGAUGCAACGAACCAGGAAGAUCAGUUUUGCAUCUUAUAGCAGUUAUAUAAAGCAUAUGGGGAAGAGCCUUGAUCCUGUUAAGGCAUUAGAAAUUUAUGAUAGCAUAACAGAUGAAUCAACAAGGAAUCAUGUCUCAGUCUGUAAUUCAGUUCUUAGUUGUCUGGUGAGGAGUGGUAAAUAUGAUAGCAGCGUCAAACUAUUUCAUCAGAUGAAGCGAGAUGGUCUAAGCCCGGAUAUUGUUACAUAUAGUACGUUGCUUGCAGGCUGCUCCAAGAUCCAGAAUGGCUACUCCAAGGCUUUGGAUCUAGUUCAGGAGCUCAAGUAUAAUGGACUGGUCAUGGAUAGUAUUACCUAUGGGACACUUCUAGAUGUAUGCGCUUCAAAUAAUCAGUGUGAAGAAGCCGAGAAGUAUUUUGAGCUUAUGAAGGAUGAAGGCCACACUCCUAAUGUCUUCCAUUAUGGCUCUUUGAUCAAUGCCUACUCAGUGAAAGGGAAUUAUAAAAAGGCAGAUGAGUUGAUUGUAAACAUGAAAGAUGUGGGGCUUGUACCAAAUAAGGUUAUAUUGACUAGUUUACUUAAGGUUUAUGUUAAAGGAGGUUUGUUUGACAAAGCAAGAGAAUUACUAAAUGAUCUAGAUGCUGCGGGGCAUGCUCAAAAUGAGAUUCCUUACUGUAUACUGAUGGACGGCCUAGCGAAGGCUGGACAGAUACAAGAAGCGAAAUCAGUAUUUGAUGAGAUGAAUGAAAAAAAUGUGAAAAGUGAUGGCUACUCCUACAGCAUUAUGAUUUCUUCAUUUUGUCGCUCUGGCCUACUUGAAGAGGCGAAGGAACUAGUUCUCCAGGUUGAUGCCAAAUAUAAAAGCUAUGAUGUGGUCCUGCUGAAUACGAUGCUAUGUGCCUACUGCAGAGUAGGAGAAAUGGAAAAUGUAAUGAUAAUGUUAAGGAGAAUGGACGAAUUAGCAAUAACCCCUGAUAGGAAUACCUUUCACAUUCUGGUCAAAUAUUUUUGUAAGGAGAAGAUAUAUAUGCUUGCUUAUCAAACAUUGGAAGACAUGCACAAGAAAGGACACCAACCAGAGGAGGAAUUGUGUUCUUCCUUGAUUUUUCAUCUCGGCAAAACAGGAGCACAUUCACAAGCAUUUUCUGUAUACAAUAUGUUGAGAUAUGGCAAGAGGUCAGUGUGCAAGACCCUUCAUGGGAAAAUUCUUCACAUUCUUAUAGAUGGAAGACUUCUCAAAGAUGCAUAUCUGGUUGUGAAGGACAACGCAAGGUCGAUUCCAAGAUCGACUUUGAAGAAAUUUGCAGCAUCCUUUAUGAAAUUUGGUAAUAUUAACUUAAUAAAUGAUGUGAUCAAGGCUCUUCACAGUUCUGGGCACAAGAUUGAUCAGGGUUUAUUUGAGAUGGCCAUAUCAAGGUAUAUCGACCAACCUGAAAAGAAGGAUCUUCUUCUCCAGUUGCUGCAAUGGAUGCCUGACAAAGGUUAUUUUGUUGAUUCCUCAACAAGAAACUUGCUCCUUAAAAACUCAAAACUUUUUGGCGCCCAACAGAUUGCUGAGACAUUGUCGAGACAGCAUAUAUCCUCAAAAGCUCCAAGGUCUCAUGAAAUGAAGGAUAACUUAUCGUAAAGAAUGAAUCAUAUUAGUUAACUUGGACGAAUUAUGGUUUGUUUGGUGCAACAUGUUCUGCACUUCAGCUCGAGCACUAAGUUUUUAGGGGAAAUCUCGAUUCCUUUCUGCGAUGAUAGUAAAGCUCAAAAGAUGUGCAUGGGAACUACUGAAAUUGAUUAGCAUGACUAUUAUGAAGAUAUCAUGCCCUAAACAGGUUCUCCUUGAACUUUCCAAAAGAUCCUAAUAUUUUUGGGCUGGUGCAACACCAUUGAAGAUCCUCCGUGUGUCUACUUGUAUACUUUGAGAGGCUUCCACCUUUAUUGAGUUACAAUCUGCCAUGAACAUGAGGUUCAAUAUGUUAACUUUCUAUGUAUAGAUUACUAUACAUUCCUUUACUUUCAGAUAUACAGUAUGAAUGGACAAGGGAAAUAACUGACAUUCUGAUAUUCAGGGGUAGGGGAUGUAGACAAAUCAUAUCUGGAAUAUAUAAGGCAGGUAAUGGGUUCAACUGUAAAAGAAUACAAUGUAAUCGUAGCCUAUGUGCUUUUGAUGAGGAGUCCCAUGUUUAAAUUU